CUACAGUUCUUUGAUCUAGGUCUGAUCUUCUUCCCUCUACUGGUGGAUUUCAGUCUAUCGGAUUCAGUUCCUUCACAGUCUUUUCCAGCCUAUAGAUCUGGACUUCUUCAGAUCCCCAUCACCAUCUCUAGUGGUGACAUCAGGAGGGAGAGAAACCCUAGUAUUCCGGCCUUGCGUCAUCAGUUGCUUCUCGACGGUUGUUCAGCUUGUGCAGAUGACACAUUGACGCUCCCAUCUGCCAUUGAGGUAAAUUCACGAACUUGAAAGCACCAAAUAUAGCACGUUGGGCGCUAGCUCCGGCUAUCGUCGAAGAGUUGUAACUACUUAAAAUAAAGACAAAAAAAUAAAACAAUUUUUUCAUGGUUUCCUUAAUAAAAAUUGAUACAUAUUUAUAGAGAUUAGGCAAUGUUAAUUGUCGAUCAUAACUGCUAUUUAGUUACUUUAGGUAAUGUUAACUGCCAAUCAUAACUGCUAUUUAGUUACUUAAUAACCAACAGGGUUAUAUACUUAACAAACACAAACUUAGGGAGAUAUUUUUAAUUUGAUAAUAUAUAUUUAAUUAUAUAAGGAUUCUUCAAUAUUGUUUCUCGUGGAUGUCCGAUCAUAUCUUGCAGUAGUCAGACAUCAUCGUGGGUGAUCGCGAACUCGCUUCGCCGGUAGCUCAUCUUUGUCGUCGUCCUUAUCAUAAGAUGAGAUCGUUAAUUUAGACUAAUAUCACCAAAUAAUCACACUUAACAAAAGAGAACAUUUAUAAGUGAAUAGAACUAUAGAAGAUAAGAUAACUGAAAAUGCAGAGAAAUCAAAUAUCUUCAGGUAACUGCAAUAAUAAAGAAGUCAUCCUUGUAUAAAUAAGAUUUAUCCAAGAUAGUUGCCAAUGUAAAUAUUUGGGCCUACCUUUAGCAGCCAUUGCCACUAAAAGUACUGUGAUGAUAUGGUGAAAGGGUUGAAAGUUAAGUGUGCAAAUUGAAAUACCAAAUGUCUGACGUCGUAUGUUAGAAAAUUGCAGUUGUUGAAGUAUGGAAAGCUCAUAUUUUGGGUAAUGUCGUGCAAACUCUCUAGUAGGAUAAUUGAACUCAUUCAAAGAAUUACUUACAGAUUUCUAUGGGCCAAUGUGCUAGGCCACUCACUGAAGGUGGAAUCAGACUAGAGACGAAUUGAGGAAUAUUGCGAAUUAUCCAAAGUUCAAAGAUUUGGAGAAUAAUGACAAAAUACAAAUCCAUUUGGUCAAAAUAGAUAAAGAAGAGAUAUUUGGCAACUACGAGUUGGGAUAUGCGGUUGAGGGAAAUUCUGAGGAUUGAUCAUAAUUCAGUAUGGUAGUGAAGGUAAGGCUGUAAAUGGUAUACCGGAAUCCGUAUUCGAAUUCGAAUAUGACUAUCCGGAUUCGAAUUCAGAUACCUGAAUUGAAAUCCGGAUUUUAUUCGGUUAGAUUCGGAUAUCUGAAAAAUCCGCCGUUAAAAUUCAAAUUCGUUUAAAAAUUUCGGAUUCGGAUAUCCAGAUAAAUAUAUAAUAAAUUAAUAUUAUUAUAUUUAUAUUACUAAUCAUUAAACAUUUAAAGUCUUAACCCUAAUUAUCUUUAUAAUUAUAAAUCUUUAUAACUUAUUAACUUAUAAUUAUUAAAUCAUAACCCUAAACCUAAAGUUAUCCGGAUUCGGAUUAUCCAAAAAUCCGGAUAAUUUAUUCGGAUUAUUCGGAUAUCCGAAUCAUUAUUCGUAUCCGAAUUUUAUUCGGUCGGAUUCAGAUAUCCGAAUAAUUAUUUGGAUUCAGAUACCUGUAUAUCUGAUCUGAAUCCGACCGAUAUACAUGCUUUAGUGAAGGGAUCUCAAACCAUCUUUUGCUUUGGCUUGGAAAAAAAUAAGUCAGACCUGAUAAAUAUGUAGAUUGUUUAUGGGCUCAUGGAAUGAAUAAAUUUUCCUUGUGUGGAGGGAGAAUUAGGUGGAACAAGCUACCAACUAAAGUUCAUGUAAAUGAAAGAGACUUAGUAUUGACAAAAUGUGCAUCCUUUUUAACAGCGCAGAUGAAGAUCAUGAGCAUUUGUUUUUUGGAUGUUUGUAUUUAAAACACAUAUGGAGCGAUUGUGUUGAGAGAAUGGAAAACAUGAUCCCAACAAAUAUUCAUAAUUUCUUAGGAGUAUUUCGACUCGUUGAAUCUGUGUUUACAACACAUAAUGCAUAUUAGACAAUGCAUUAGCUAAUAUUGUUCCAGAUUGCAACAUGGCAUAUCUGGAAAGAAAGAUGUAACAAGAUACAUGUUGGGAAGAAGAAUUAUUGGUCCAUUAUCAAGGACAAGACCCAAAGUGAUACCAAAGUGAUGUUCAACCCUAGUAAAUUUAAAGCUAAGCUGAGUUAUGGGGAUGCUUUAUCACUUAUCCCUUGGCAGGACAACCUCAGUAUCACCUAGGAAAAUAGUAAUAAUACGUAUGAUAUGUAUAAUACUAGUACAAAAGUAUAGUUAUAUAAUGAUAAACUAUUUCGUAUCAGUUUUUCUAUUAUAUGAAAAAUUUAUUGUUGCCAAAAAAAGAUAUGGCUGAAGUGAUUAAGAUGAAAUGAGUGUGCGUGAACAAGUAUGAAAAGAGGAGUACAAACAGUUAUGAUCAGUGAGGGAGAGCGACGAGAGUUGGCGAUUGAAAACGAGGGUUUACCAAUUUUUUGAUUAAAUGUAAGAAUUUUUUUUGAAAGCAAAAAAAAAAGUAAGGAUUGAUUAUGAACAAAAAAAGAAUAUUUCUGUAUGUUUUGAUUUUUUUUUUGAAAUAAUUAAAUUUCAUUAAAAUAAGACUAAUGUCAAGUUUACAAAAAAAUAGAGUAUAAAAAUAAAAACAGAAGUAAAAAAAAAAUAAGCAAAAAGUUCAUUGACUUUUUCCCAUUAACUAGAUACGCUGCCUCCAAAGGGUGACAAUAAUUUUUUUUGUAAUACACUGAAUCAAAGGAAAGACUGAUGUCUUUAAUGAGAUGAAUAUUACUCAUAGUAAUGUGUACAAGAAGAUACCUUUUUGUAUUUUCAUGAUAAAAUGAUGUCCUUGAGGGCAUCUUUGACAUAUGCAUACUUGUACGAAAACCCUAAUUCUUUAGCUUUCAAUGGAAACACCUUUUGUCCUUGCAAAACCUGCCACAGAGAUUGGAUUUACUAAUUUGCUAAGGUGAUGCGGUUUAAUUUAUAGUGCUACCUACUGUCGAUUAAUACAAUAUAAAAAAUGAUAAUGAUUGAACUCACAAUGGUGGCACCCUCACCCAAAACUGCUUUGAGUGCAAAUUCAGGAACAGGCAACCAAGAUGGCCGUCCCAUAACUUCUCCUAAAUGAUCACACAUCUCGGAAAAUCGAACAGGAUUGGGUGCAGUUCCAUUUAUUACUCCUGAAAUUAUAUUUGCAGAUGAUCAUGCUAGAAUGGAAGGUUGGCUUUCUUGAAAUGUUAUUAUGUACCAAACCCCAUGGAUGCCAAAUAUUGGUAGCAAUUAGAUGAUAAAAUCCAUGCGAAAAUAUGACAGAAUUUUAAGUAGAGUGAGUAAAUUGUAAUUCACAGCAAUUUGGCAAAAUCAUAUGUGACCCGGUGAAAGUAGGGUUUUUCUGUGUUUUUAGACAGAGUUGAAUGGUCAGUUAGAGGGGUGCAUUUUGUAUAAUGAUUGUCUUCAUGGUUAUAUACUAAUGACAUUGCUGUAUCAACUUUUUGUGAUCAACUUCUGUUUUUUAAUAAAAAAAUUAUCAUUUUAAAAAAAAAUAUUUUUUUUUGAAGCAAUUAAAUUUCAUUAAAAAAAAGGCCAAUGCUCAGUUUACAUAGAGUAUAGAAAUAACAAACAAAAGUAAAAGAAAUGAGCAAGAAGCUCAUUGACUCUCUCCCAUUAGUAAAAAAACAUUCAUAAAUCAUUUAAAAAAUAAAUUGUAUUUAUUAGUAAUAAUAAAUAAGGCUAUUUGUUUUCAUUUGUUUGUAAUUACAUUUUAGCCCUUAUCAUACUAAUUGUAAUUAGUUAGUGUAGAUUAGAUCUGAACUGAAUUCAGUUAAGAUCUAAUCUUAAACUCAAGUGUAUAUAAACACAUCUAAUAUAUGUUUAGAGGGGUCGAUCACUUGAUUCCCCCAUUUCCUAACUUUCCAGUUUGACUUAUAUGGUACCAGUCGCCUGUUAAGAUCUUGGGAGAAUUUUCUGUUGAGAUCGAUUGAGUAUUAUUCUCUGUUUUGUUCAUUCAGCAUUGGAGUUUCCACAUCCAAUCAUGGCGAUGAACGGAGAAUUGGAUGAGACGACGCAAAUUCUUGGUGAUGAUCAUCAAACGAAGGUCAUUAUGAUCAAGAAUUUGAAGACCGUUUCUCUGGACUGCAGCAACUAUUUUGCUUGGCGGAUAUAAUUUUCAGCACACCUAGCGAGAAAUGAGCUAGAUCACUAUCUCACUGGGAAAGUAGUGCUCAAUUCUGCAGUGACGAUCAGGCAAGAUAAAUUAAUUCUAGCAUGGAUGGUGUCAUCGCUGUCCGCACCAAUUCUAUCGGUGGUAGCAAAUUGUGCAACUGCACAUGAGGCUUGGAAGAGGUUACAGAUGGAGUUUGCAUCCAGCUCAAGGUCAAGAGUCGUAAGCAUACGCCAAAAGCUCCAAAGUUUGAAAAUUAGAGGAAGAUUUAUAACAGAAUAUUUGCAGGAAAUUGAUGGAUUGUUAGAAAUUUUAGCUGUGGCAGGGGAGGAGAUUACAAAUGCUGAUGUGAUUUUACUAGUGUUGGUAGGGCUUGGAGAUGAAUAUGAGGCCAUAAUUCAGAAUGUGAUCACAAGGAGGGAUGAGUUCUCGUAUACAGAGGUAAAAGCAAUUCUAACUGAUGUUGAAAUAAGGAGAGGAAGAACUAAUGCAAAUUCUGCCCUCAGCGUGAACAUUGUUGAAGUUGAAAACCCUAAGAAGACAAGUAAGAGUUUUUACAAAACAAUACCUUGUCAAAUUUGUUCAAGGAAAGGGCAUGGAACACUCAAUUGCUACAAUAGAUUGAACAUCACUAAUUUUCCUCCAACACAUGGGAGAAAACUUAAUUCAGAUGGUCUGACCAGCAAGAUGUCAGCCAAUAUGGUACAAAAAUCAUCAUCAGUUUGGUACCCUAAGGCAGGUAUGAUUGAAGAAAUGUCUGUGAAUGUUAUGUAUGAGAACUGUGAAAAUACAAGGCAAGAGAUCAUUGAGAAUUCAGUGAAUAUGGUGUCAAAUGCAAGAUCUUGGUUUGCUGAUUCUGGCUCAACAAACCAUAUUACAGAUAGAAAGGUAGAUAUUCAAGAUGGGCUGGAUUGUGAGAAUUCCAUCAAUACUGCCAAUGGACAUCCUAUGAGGAUUGUUCACUCUGGUAAAUUUUUUUUUCUGUCAAUAAAAUAAAUUUUUUUAUGAACUAGAUUUUAUGUGUACCUUCUGCAUCAAAGAAUUUGAUUUCAGUGAAGAGAUUCUGUGCUGACAAUCUAGUAACUAUGGAAUUUGAUCCACAGAGGCUGUUUGUCAAGGAUAUCAACACUAGAGAAGUUUUGAUGAUUGGGAAGGAAAGUGGAGGAUUAUAUCAAUUACCUAUACCUAUAGGGGAUUCAGGGAUGCAAGUUAAUCAAAUGGAGUUGGGGAUGCAGGCCACUGCUAGAGUGUGGCACUUGAGAUUGGGGCAUCUACACUCGAGGACUAUGAAGCAACUCAACAAACAGAAUUUAAUUCGAGUUUCAGAUACAAACAAGGUUCCGCCACCUGGAGGAUCUGAGCAUAUGCGUUCAGAUGCGCCAGUGGCAUUUUCGUAAAUAUUUAUAAAAUUAUAGGAAAUUAAUAUUUUUUUAUAUAUCUAAAUAAUAUUAAUUAAAUUUUUUAGUUAAAAAUAUAUUGGAUAGAAAAAUUAUUAUAAUACAUAUAUUUAUUAAUUAUUAUAACACCCUAUAAUUCAUUGUAACACCAAGGUUUAAAAAUCGGUUAACCAUUUAGGGGUAUUUUCGUAAUAAUAUAGCUCUAUAAAUGGCUAGGGUUUCUUUAAACUUAUAAAAGAGAGGCUUUUAUAAAAAGAAAAUAAUAAAUAACCCAAGAGGCUUUUAAAAAAUAAUAACGUAAUGGGUUGGGCUGGGCCUUCUUUAAUACAUCUACAACAUAAAAAAUACUCUAUAAUAAUAAUUUAUUUAACCACACUUUUUUAGUCCUACAUCGAUAGAAUUUAAAAAACACAAAGAAGGUUGGUCUAUAAAUAAAGAUUCAUUUUGUCUAAAACAAAUAUUAAAAAUAAUAUAGCUCUAUCGAUGUAUAUUAAAAACACAAAGAGUGGGAGGAGCUUAUAUUAAAAAUAAUAUAGCACUUUUCAUGGACCAAUGUAUAAAUUUUUAUGUUAAAAAUUUAUAAGGUCUUAAAAUAAAAUUUUUUUUGGCCUUUUUUUUAAAAUAAAAACAAAAAACUUAAAACAGGUCUGGAUCCGAGUCGGAUUUUACCCGGAUCCGGCUAAGGGAGAUGCGCCUGGCGCAUCUCCCUCUGGGGGCGCAUCAUCGCAUAUGCGCGCGCACCCAGAACCUUGGAUACAAAUGAUAUCCAAAAUUUAUGUAAGGAAUGUUGUGUUGCAAAAGCUAAGAAAUUGAAACAUAAUAAAAGUACCUAAUUUUAUACUACACUUGAACUUAUUUUUGUUGAUGUGUGAGGUCCUGCCCCAACUGAAUCCACAGAAGGAUAUAGGUAUUAUGUAAAUUUUGUGGAUGCUUCAACUAGUUACAAUUGGGUUUUCUUGAUGAGAAGAAAAUAUGAAGAUGAAGAAUAUUUUGUACAAUUCAAAUGCAUGGCUGAAAAACAAUAUGACAGGAAUAUAAAAGCUCUCCAAACUGAUAAUGCUAAAGAAUUUUUAAAACUGUCAAAAUUGUUAAGGAGUAAUGGAAUAAUACAUCGUCUUAGCUGUCCACACACUCAUCCUCAGAUGGGGAAGGUAGAGCGCAGACACAAACAUAUAGUAGACACAGGGCUGGCUAGUUGAAGCAUGCAGGGUUGGAAACACACUUCUGGGACUAUGCAUUCAUGGCAUCUGUCUAUCUAUAUAACAGGAACCCCACUGAAAUAUUGAAAGGUAUAUCACCUUAUCAAGCUUUACACCUCAAGUCCCCUGAUUAUUAUAAGUUGAAAAUAUUCGAGCAGUGUGUUAUCCCAAUCUCAGACCAUAUAGGGAAAACAAAUUGAGUGACAAAUCAGCACCUUAUGUUUUUCCAGGAUAUCCAGUCAAUUGUGAUGGAUACAUAUGCAUGGAUAUGAGGGAUGGGAAGACACUAAUUUCCAGAGAUGUGAUCUUUGAAGAAAAUAAAUUUCAGUCAAAGAAAACAGUUAUUUCUCAAUCUCCAACGCAAUCAGUACAGGCAGAGGAGAGUAAAUUAGAUGAGGCUGAACAGAGCAGAAUAAAUGACAAUUCAGAACAAGCAGUGAUAGAUAUUUCAAAACAUGCAGUGGCUUCUCAAUCUACUACACAGUCUGAACUUCCUAUCAUUUCUACUACAGAUGAGUUACCACUUAUCCAGUAUAGUAGAAGAGCACCUGUUGCAAUGGAAAAUGAUGAGGAUGAAGGGUCUGAUGACUCUGGAUCGAACUCUGAAGAAGAGUAUAAUCCAAAAAUAGCAGAAAAUCCAGUAACAAAACACAUACCUGUCAUUAGAGCAUCGAGGGGAAUUGUCAAGAAAGUUCAGAGAUAUGCUUGCAAUAUAUCUCCCACACCAAAACAAACCCCUAAGUCAGUGAAGUAUGUCUUGCAAGACCCUGAAUGGAAGAAGGCAAUGCAGGAGGAAUACAAUGCUCUUGUAAGGAAUGGGACUUGGGAACUCAUCCCAAGGAAUCCAGUGGAUAAUAUAAUCAAUAAUAUAUGGCUGUUCAAAGUGAAAGAAAGGUCAGAUGGGACAGUAGAGAGGUUGAAGGCAAGAUUAGUGGCCAAUGGCACCAAUCAAGUAGGACUGGUCACUGGAUUAUACUGAGACAUUCAGCCUUGUUUUCAAGCACAAAACAAUCAGAAUAGUGCUUACAUCUGGAGAGGAAGUCAUCUACAUAUUUGUAUAUGUAGAUGACAUGGUCAUUACAGGCUCGAGUGCUAAAGGCAUAGAAAUAUUUUUGAAUGAAUUAAAAUCUGAAUUUGCUGUGAGAUUGUGUGGAAACUUGGAGUAUUUUCUGGGAAUCAGAGUUAGGAAGCACUCUGAUGGUUUAUUCUUAGACCAACAGUUAUACUUGGUGAAUCUUCUUAAUAAGCAUGUGUAUGAAAACCUAAAACCCAUUGCUACACCUAUGCAACCUAAUACUGAUUUUUACUCUUGAGGCAGAAUAAAUUCAGAAUUCUACUGAAUAUAGGCAGUUGGUGGGUUCACUGCAGUAUCUCACUACCACAAGGCCAGAUAUUGCUUAUGCAGUAAACAAGUUAGCUCAGUUCAUGAAGAAACCCAAAGAAAUACAUUGGCAGAUGUAAAAAAGAAUUCUGAGAUACUUAUCUGGUACACACAAUAUGGGGAUUGUGUUCAGAAAAACUUGUUCCAAUGAGAUUAUAGCAUACAGUGAUGCAGAUUGGGCAUCUGAUUCAACUGACAGAAAAGCCAGACUGGGUAUCUCUUAUAUAUGGGUGAAUAACUGAUAGUUUGGUGUUCACAAAAAUAAUCUACAGUGUCUAGGUCCAGCACUGAGUCAGAAUUCAGGGCAAUCACAGCUGCCACGACAGAAGUUGAAUGGGUAUCUAAUUUGCUGAUAGAGAUGGUGUGACAACUUGGGAGCAACUCAACUGGCUACAAACCCCGUGUUCCACACUAAAAUCAAGCAUGCUGCAAUUGAUUUCAAUUUUGUACGGGAGAGGAUGGAGAAGAAGGCUAUUCAAGUUAUUCAUAUUCCAAAUACCAUGCAACGAGUUGAUACACUAACCAAGGCAUUAAAGCUAGCAUCAUUCAUGGAGCUAAGAACCAACCUCAUCAGUUACCACAAAUGAGCUUGAGGGGGACUAUUAGUAAUAAUAAAUAAGGCUAUUUGUUUGUAAUUACAUUUUAGCCCUUAUAAUACUAAUUGUAAUUAGUUAUUGUAGAUUAGAUCUAAACUGAAUUCAGUUAAGAUCUAAUCUUAAACUCAAGUGUAUAUAAACACAUCUAAUAUAUAUUUAGAAGGGUCGAUCACUUGAUUCCCCCAUUUCCUAACUUUCCAGUUUCACUCAUAGUAUAUGAAAUCAUUUUUCAAAAAAAUUACUUACCUUGGUAGGAAGGAUUUGCGAUGGAUUCACAUAUUAAAUUCACUAAAUCAUCCAAGUGAAUCCAAGAAAACCUGCAACGAUUGAUGUUUUUAAAAAAUUUGUCAAAUUGUCGUCAGUCUUUUUCUAAUAAAACAAUUUAAUUUUUCUCUUAUUAUUUUUUUAAAAAAUACUAGAGAAAAAGUUUAAGGUAAAGUAAUGUCUAAAUGAGUACCAUUGCUUUCCACUACCUAUAGGACCACCAGCAAACAUCAUAAAAAGUGGGAUCAUUUUUGCUGAAACAUUUCAAAUGAAAAAAAUGAAAGAAUUGACACAAAAUACAUUGAUAAAGAAAAUUUGGAGCUUAUGAGAUUUAAAUCAAUAAGAUUAAACAAAAAAAGAAUAAAAAUUAUGAUUCUGACUUCUGAUCUUUUAAAUAGGACUACUUAAGCAUUAAGACGCUAGAGAAAAACUAUUUCAUAAGUCACAUGCUGACAAUGCAGCCAUGUGAAACAAAAUGAUAAAUAAACAGAGAUGGAAAUAAACACACCUAAAGCACCUCCAUCUUUGCCAAGAACAACACCAAUGCGAAUAAGAACAACCUUGACAUCCUUAUCAACUUUCAAAGCACAUGAUUCCCAUUCUUUACAAACCUGAAUGUUUUGACAACUUUGACAUGCUGAAUAAAUACAUUAAAAUGUGUCGACGUUUCUAAAUAAAAAAUAAGUUAACUGGGAACAUGAGUCACAAACUCAUAGUGAAUGCUAAGGUUACACCACUGAAACUCAGUGAAGUGACUACAUAAACCUAAAUCACAUAGAGAUAUUUUAUAUUUUUAUCAAUUACAUAUACACAUGCAUCUAAAUAAAAUAUUGAUUUUCUCCCUCUAGGUCAUAUUUCCUUUGAAUUUACAAUGGUUGAAGAAAAUCCUGGCAUAAUUGAUUAUCCAGGCAAAUACUUCUCUUCAGUCCAUUCCGUUCAUUUCAAUCUGUAAUAUCUUUCCCUCUACAUAUAUAAAUUUCAAGAUAUAAACCCCACCAUGAAUUGUGUGGAGAGAACAAAAAGUGAUUAGCUUAACUAGUGACAAAAGCUCUUUAGGUUAUUAAGGUCUAGAAUUCAAAAAUCCCAUUGUAUACUUAUCCACUUCAAAUUUGCCUAAUGGUACAUUAAGUAGCUUUGAUCUAUCACUCAGACAUAGACCCUUAUAUUCCUUGUAGCAAGGUAUCCUCUGUUAUAAAAAAGAGUUGUAUUGAGAGAAUUCCCCACCUUCAAGAAAAGAAACUCCACCUUGAGAUACGACUGACACAAAUAUUCUUGGAAUAACUAUGGGAAAAUAAAUAGAUGAUUUCUUUGUUCCUGCUUUAAUUCAAUAUAAAUGACAGGGGAUCAAAAAUCUCCAAAUACUUUGUCAGUAGCAUUUAUUCUUCCUCCACCUUAGUAGCCAACGCAAAAACUUUCCCAUCCUACAGAACAUCAAGAUAUGUGUAGAUUAAUUUUACUUCUAGUUCUGGAAUGAGUUCUCUAUUUCCUCCAUUGGCCAGUAUCAAACUGCCAGACAUAUACCAGUAUACCAGCUCAAGUAAUCGAGAAAAGCAACUUUGAUUUCCUUGGAGAUGGAUUCUAUGUUGAAACUCCAAGUAACUAAAUAGUUCAUUCCUGUUCUGAUUUCCUCUCAUCAUGGCAAUCAACCCACAACCAAUAGAAACAAUCUCCGGUGAGCAGGAAUCGUUCAGUUGUCCUCUAAUGGGGAUCUCUGGGAUACUAAAAAUUUAAAAUAUUAUGUUUUCCAUUCAAUGACUUUGAUAUGAUUUCCUAAAAUAAACAAAUCCUUAAAUACUAAGACUACAAAAAUAUGUGUGUGAUUAUAUUAUAACAGUUAACCAUAUCAUCAUUAUUAUGGCAUUUCUUACCUCUGCCAAAAAGUCAUUUCCUGGAGGGCUUUGCUCAUCAAAAGAUUGUGUUUCGCUAGUGCCUGAUAACAUGAAUGCAAGCAACUAUCUCUAUUACAGAAAGAGAUGAAAAAUAUAGCUAGAUUUCAGAUUAAACUUUAAAAUAAUGAUAUUUUCCUUUAUUAUGCAGAAAAAUGCUCUUCAUUUAUAAAUAAUUAGGAUACAAUAAUGAUUAUUAAAAAGAUUCAAGUGGAAAGGGUCGA
rnacentral:lncRNA from 1 species